UGGGACCCAAGAGGGGUGAGGAAAAUUCUGAGCUCAGUCUUCACUCUCUCUUUGGUCCCCAG
rnacentral:pre_miRNA from 1 species